rnacentral:snRNA from 10 species
GAAAAAAUACACAGAAGAUUAGUAUGGCCCCUGUGCAAGGAUGAUAUCCAAAUCUGUGAAGUGUUCCUUUAAAAU